rnacentral:lncRNA from 1 species
GGUGUCUAGUUGGAGAGAUUUCAUGAAGGGAACAAAGAGGGUAAGACUGUUAUUACCUUAUAUUGCAGGUUAAGAAAGGAGAAAUUUGGCCUCCAAAGUUGAAAACAGAAGAUCCCAAUAAAUCUUACGUUCAACGACCUGUGAAACGAGGUUAAAAACAUAUACUCAAUUAGUUCUGUUUCAGUGAUAUUUAAAGCUUGAACGGGCUAUGGUGGAGCGUAAGCUUAACGCUUAUAUCAAUUUGUAUCAGUAGCACACUUCAUUAUUCUGCAGC